rnacentral:rRNA from 1 species
AGUGAACGCUGGCGGUAGGCCUAACACAUGCAAGUCGAACGGCAGCACAGUAAGAGCUUGCUCUUACGGGUGGCGAGUGGCAGACGGGUGAGGAAGACAUCGGAAUCUACUUUUUCGUGGGGGAUAACGUAGGGAAACUUACGCUAAUACCGCAUACGACCUACGGGUGAAAGCAGGGGAUCUUCGGACCUUGCGCGAUUGAAUGAGCCGAUGUCGGAUUAGCUAGUUGGCGGGGUAAAGGCCCACCAAGGCGACGAUCCGUAGCUGGUCUGAGAGGAUGAUCUGCCACACUGGAACUGAGACACGGUCCAGACUCCUACGGGAGGAAGCAGUGGGGAAUAUUGGACAAUGGGCGCAAGCCUGAUCCAGCCAUACCGCGUGGGUGAAGAAGGCCUUCGGGUUGUAAAGCCCUUUUGUUGGGAAAGAAAAGCAGCAGGUUAAUACCCCGCUGUUCUGACGGUACCCAAAGAAUAAGCACCGGCUAACUUCGUG